rnacentral:rRNA from 1 species
GACGAACGCUGGCGGCGUGCUUAACACAUGCAAGUCGAACGGUAAGGCUCCAGCUUGCUGGGGUACACGAGUGGCGAACGGGUGAGUAACACGUGGGUGACCUGCCCUGCACUUCGGGAUAAGCCUGGGAAACUGGGUCUAAUACCGGAUAGGACCAUGGUGUGGAUACUGUGGUGGAAAGUUUUUUCGGUGUGGGAUGGGCCCGCGGCCUAUCAGCUUGUUGGUGGGGUAAUGGCCUACCAAGGCGGCGACGGGUAGCCGGCCUGAGAGGGUGGACGGCCACAUUGGGACUGAGACACGGCCCAGACUCCUACGGGAGGCAGCAGUGGGGAAUAUUGCACAAUGGGCGGAAGCCUGAUUCAGCGACGCCGCGUGGGGGAUGACGGCCUUCGGGUCGUAAACUCCUUUCACCAUCGACGAAGGGUUUCUGACGGUAGAUGGAGAAGAAGCACCGGCUAACUACGUG